rnacentral:ncRNA from 1 species
GGGCACCACCAGAUGUGGAGCCUGCGGCUUAAUUUGACUCAACACGGGGAAACUCACCAGGUCCAGACACAUUAAGGAUUGACAGAUUGAGAGCUCUUUCUUGAUUAUGUGGGUGGUGGUGCAUGGCCGUUCUUAGUUGGUGGAGUGAUUUGUCUGCUUAAUUGCGAUAACGAACGAGACCUUAACCUGCUAAAUAGCCAGGCGUGCUUUUGCAUGUCGCCGGCUUCUUAGAGGGACUAUCGGCUCAAGCCGAUGGAAGUUUGAGGCAAUAACAGGUCUGUGAUGCCCUUAGAUGUUCUGGGCCGCACGCGCGCUACACUGACAGAGCCAACGAGUAUAAACCUUGACCGAGAGGUCUGGGUAAUCUUGUUAAACUCUGUCGUGCUGGGGAUAGAGCAUUGCAAUUAUUGCUCUUCAACGAGGAAUAUCUAGUAAGCGCAAGUCAUCAGCUUGCGUUGAUUACGUCCCUGCCCUUUGUACACACCGCCCGUCGCUACUACCGAUUGAAUGGCUCAGUGAGGCCUUCGGACUGGCUCAGGGAGGUCGGCAACGACCACCCAGAGCCGGAAAGUUGGUCAAACUUGGUCAUUUAGAGGAAGUAAAAGUCGUAACAAGGUUUAGAUUCGGUGAGAGAUCCUUUCACAGAUGACCUAUGAGAAGCCUUUGUGACCCAAAAUAUGGGUGCAAUCCGCGACUUUGGCAAAAAUAAUGAGAGAGCAUUAAAACACAAGUCAGCCUGAGAUUUAAUCAGUUGGCGACACUUUCGAAUUGCGGGGAACUCCUAAAGCUCGUUUUCCACCAACCUUGUGCAAAUCACGAGGGGCCAAUGCUAAUUGCAUUGGGUAAGGUAACAGCGGAAAUGAGAUGUUACAAUGGAUAAUCCGCAGCCAAGUCUCAUCGAUCCCAUGGUCUUUCUGACUGAAGGUAUUGGUGAGAAAGGUUCACAGACUAAGUGGAAGUGGGUUGGACUUCGGUUCAGCUUAAGAUAUAGUCGGGCCUUUGGAGAAAUCCAAGGGGCAGUCAUCGAACUGGUACACGUUCCGUAGGUGAACCUGCGGAAGGAUCAUUAACAAUCCUAACCGAUUCUUUGUCCCGGUUCGCCGGUCAAAGUCUUAAACCCUUUGUGAAAACAAAAAUCUUUUGCUUCGGCAGCCGGUCGAGUUUUCCUGACCGAUUUCUCGAUCUUAAGCCUGCCGGCGGCACCAACCAAACUUGUUAUUUCUGAACAGUCUGAAAAACAUUUUUUGAAUGAAAUCAAAACUUUCAACAACGGAUCUCUUGGUUCUCGCAUCGAUGAAGAACGCAGCGAAACGCGAUAGUUAAUGUGAAUUGCAGAAUUCAGUGAAUCAUCGAGUCUUUGAACGCACAUUGCGCCCAUUGGUAUUCCGAUGGGCACGUCUGUUUGAGCGUCAUUAUAAUCCUUCGGUCAGAGUUUGCAAGAACUCCUGACCGGUUGUGAGCCUUCAACCCCAACCGGUUGGGCUUUAAAUUGGCACGCUCUGCGGGUCACCAAACCUGAACGAACAUAGUAGAAUCCAUUCAACCUGUUCAAUUAAGGGAAGGUGAGCUCCGCCUGAACAAGAACCUAAAUUUUCUAAGGUUUGACCUCAGAUCAGACGAGGAUACCCGCUGAACUUAAGCAUAUCAAUAAGCGGAGGAAAAGAAACCAACAGGGAUUGCCUCAGUAACGGCGAGUGAAGCGGCAACAGCUCAAAUUUGAAAUCUGAAGUCUUUGUCUUCCGAGUUGUAAUUUGUAGAGGAUGCUUCGGUUGUGGUCCCGGCCUAAGUUCAUUGGAACAUGACGUCGCAGAGGGUGAGAAUCCCGUACGCGGCCGGCGGCUUACUUCCAUGUGUAGCUCCUUCGAAGAGUCGAGUUGUUUGGGAAUGCAGCUCAAAAUGGGUGGUAAAUUUCAUCUAAAGCUAAAUACUGGCGAGAGACCGAUAGCGCACAAGUAGAGUGAUCGAAAGAUGAAAAGCACUUUGAAAAGAGAGUUAAACAGUACGUGAAAUUGUUGAAAGGGAAGCGCUUGCAAUCAGACUUGCUUUCAGUUGAUCAACGUUCCUUCUGGUUCGUGCACUCUGCUGUUUUGCAGGCCAGCAUCGGUUGAGACGGUGGGACAAAGACUCUGGGAAUGUGGCUCCUCUUGGGGAGUGUUAUAGCCCAGUGUGUAAUGCCACCAGACUCGACCGAGGUCCGCGC